rfam:Oryza glumipatula chromosome 6, whole genome shotgun sequence.
AAAAAGACAAACCAUGGAUUUCCGUGUCCAAUUUUGACUGUCUGUUUUAUAUGAAAUUUUUUUUAUAAUUCGUAUUUUUAUCGUUGUUUGAUGAUAAAACAUGAUUAAUAUUUUAUACGUGGCUUGUCUUUUUAUUUUUUUUAAUAAUUAUUUUAAAUAAGACGGACGGUCAAAUGUUAGGCACGGAAAUCAGGGUUUGUCUUUUU